rnacentral:rRNA from 1 species
CGAAAGUUAGAGGUUCGAAGGCGAUCAGAUACCGCCCUAGUUCUAACCAUAAACGAUGCCAGCCAGCGAUCCGGCUGUGUUCCUCAAAUGACACGCCGGGCAGCUUCCGGGAAACCAAAGCUUUUGGGUUCCGGGGGAAGUAUGGUUGCAAAGCUGAAACUUAAAGGAAUUGACGGAGGGGCACCACCAGACGUGGAUGUUGCGGUUCAAUUUGACUCAACGCAGCAAAUCCUACCAGGCCAGGACACAGGAAGGAUUGACAGAUUGAGAGCUCUUUCUUGAUUCUGUGGGUGGUGGUGCAUGGCCGUUCCUGGUUCGUGGAGCGAUUUGUCUUGUUUAUUCUGAUAACGGACGAGAUUCUAGCCUACUAAAUAGACGCUUCGAUCCUUCGAGUCGAGCGUUCUUCUUAGAGGGACAGGCGGUGUUUAGCCGCACGAGGCAGAGCAAUAACAGGUCUGUUACGCCCUUAGAUGUCCUGGGCCACACGCGUCCUACAUUGAAGGAAUCAACGUGUGCUUUCCCUGUCCGAAGGGACUGGGUAACCCGUUGAACCUCCUUCGUGCUGGGGAUAGGAAAUUGUAAUUAUUUUCCUUGAACGAGGAACUUCUAGUAAGCGCGAGUCAUCAUCUCGGGUUGAUUAGGUCCCUGCCCCUUGUCCACACCGCCCGUCGCUAUUACCGAUUGAAUGAUUUAGUGAGGUCUUCGGACUGGCGCUCGGAUUGGCCUUCGGGUCGAGCCGGCGUGCCGGAAAGAUGACCGAACUUGACCAUUUAGAGGAAAUAAAAGUCGUAACAAGG